rnacentral:rRNA from 1 species
GCCACACUGGGACUGAGACACGGCCCAGACACCUACGGGUGGCAGCAGUCGAGAAUCUUUCACAAUGGGGGAAACCCUGAUGGAGCGACGCCGCGUGGAGGAUAAGGUCUUCGGAUUGUAAACUCCUGUCAUGCGAGAGCAAGAUUGGUCAUUUAAUAGGUGAUUAAUUUGAUAGUAUCGCAAGAGGAAGAGACGGCUAACUCUGUGCCAGCAGCCGCGGUAAUACAGAGGUCUCAAGCGUUGUUCGGAAUCACUGGGCGUAAAGGGUGCGUAGGUGGCGUGGUAAGUCAGAUGUGAAAGCCCAGGGCUCAACCCUGGAAUUGCAUCCGAUACUGCCGUGCUAGAGAACUGAAGGGGAGUCUGGAAUUCUCGGUGUAGCAGUGAAAUGCGUAGAUAUCGAGAGGAACACCAAUGGCGAAGGCAAGACUCUGGGCAGUUUCUGACACUGAGGCACGAAGGCCAGGGUAGCGAACGGA